rnacentral:rRNA from 1 species
AGCGAACGCUGGCGGCAGGCCCAACACAUGCAAGUCGAACGAAGUCUUCGGACUUAGUGGCGGACGGGUGAGUAACACGUGGGAACGUACCUUUUGGUUCGGAACAACUCAGGGAAACUUGAGCUAAUACCGGAUGAGCCCUUAGGGGGAAAGAUUUAUCGCCGAAAGAGCGGCCCGCGUUAGAUUAGCUAGUUGGUGAGGUAAAGGCUCACCAAGGCUACGAUCUAUAGCUGGUCCGAGAGGAUGAUCAGCCACACUGGGACUGAGACACGGCCCAGACUCCUACGGGAGGCAGCAGUGGGGAAUCUUGCGCAAUGGGCGAAAGCCUGACGCAGCCAUGCCGCGUGAAUGAUGAAGGUCUUAGGAUUGUAAAAUUCUUUUACCAGGGACGAUAAUGACGGUACCUGGAGAAAAAGCCCCGGCUAACUUCGUGCCAGCCGCCGCAGUAACAC